rnacentral:rRNA from 1 species
UACGAAGGGGGCUAGCGUUGUUCGGAAUCACUGGGCGUAAAGGGCGCGUAGGCGGGUUCUCAAGUCGGAGGUGAAAUCCUGUGGCUCAACCACAGAAUAGCCUUCGAUACUGGGAGCCUUGAGUUCGAGAGAGGUUGGUGGAACUGCGAGUGUAGAGGUGAAAUUCGUAGAUAUUCGCAAGAACACCGGUGGCGAAGGCGGCCAACUGGCUCGAUACUGACGCUGAGGCGCGAAAGCAUGGGGAGCAAACAGG